rnacentral:pre_miRNA from 1 species
UUUUAUGAAUGAACAAAGAAAGUGGUUUCUUGGGAUGGAAUCUACUCCUGGUGAAGAGACUGUGAA